rnacentral:rRNA from 1 species
AAACAUCACCUCCAGCAUUCCCAGUAUUGGAGGCAUUGCCUGCCCAGUGACAACUGUUUAACGGCCGCGGUAUCCUGACCGUGCAAAGGUAGCAUAAUCAUUUGUUCUCUAAAUAAGGACUUGUAUGAAUGGCCGCACGAGGGUUUUACUGUCUCUUACUUCCAAUCAGUGAAAUUGACCUUCCCGUGAAGAGGCGGGAAUGCACAAAUAAGACGAGAAGACCCUAUGGAGCUUUAACUAACCAACCCAAAGAGAAUAAAUUUAACCAUUAAGGAGUAACAACAAUCUCCAUGAGUUGGUAGUUUCGGUUGGGGUGACCUCGGAGAAUAAAAAACCCUCCGAGCGAUUUUAAAGACUAGACCCACAAGUCAAAUCACUCUAUCGCUCAUUGAUCCAAAAACUUGAUCAACGGAACAAGUUACCCUAGGGAUAACAGCGCAAUCCUAUUCAAGAGUCCAUAUCGACAAUAGGGUUUACGACCUCGAUGUUGGAUCAGGACAUCCUGAUGGUGCAACCGCUAUCAAAGGUUCGUUUGUUCAACGAUUAAAGUCCUACAUGAU